UAUUUGCAGCUAACUAAAGGGUUUGUGCAUGCAGGACCAGCUUAAUUAAAGACAAAAUUUAAAAGGAAAAAUUAUUUGGGCUGUACAACACUGAAAAAAAAAUCUGAAUCUAUGCUGUUUUUAAAUGGAUCCCUGGUUGAAGUGUGGGUUACAGCUGUCCCAGAAAUCAGUGCCACAAUGAAUUAGGAUGAUGUUGGCUACUGUUUGGCUUGGUGUUUCUUCAACUGUGUGCCACGUCCCUCAGCAAAACACAGCACAGGCAAUCAUGUGGAACUAGCAAGAUGAAUAAAAAUAAACUGAUUCAUUAUUUCCUAGAAGUGGUUUCAAGAGGUGAUGUGGAACUCAUCUGUGACUAUAUUACCGAAGUCCAAUCCAUCCUCGGAAACCUUGACUUUCAGCACCCAGAGACGUGGAAUACGCCUCUCAUUACUGCAGCAGAGGAAAAUCUAACAGAGGUUGUUGGAUUUCUUCUGGAAAAGUGAGUAGAUAUCACCCUUUGCAAUUACAGCAAUCGAACCGCAAUUCAUGUAGCUAAUUGCAAUAUCCAAAGACAACUCUUGGCAGUCAAUAGAAUCCAGGCUCCCCAAAUGCAACUUCUACAAAG
rnacentral:lncRNA from 1 species